rnacentral:rRNA from 1 species
AACGAACGCUGGCGGCAUGCCUAACACAUGCAAGUCGAACGAACCCUUCGGGGUUAGUGGCGCACGGGUGCGUAACGCGUGGGAAUCUGCCCUUUGCUUCGGAAUAACAGUUAGAAAUGACUGCUAAUACCGGAUGAUGUCUUCGGACCAAAGAUUUAUCGGCAAGGGAUGAGCCCGCGCAGGCUUAGGUAGUUGGUGGGGUAAAGGCCUACCAAGCCGACGAUCCUUAGCUGGUCUGAGAGGAUGAUCAGCCACACUGGGACUGAGACACGGCCCAGACUCCUACGGGAGGCAGCAGUGGGGAAUAUUGGACAAUGGGCGCAAGCCUGAUCCAGCAAUGCCGCGUGAGUGAUGAAGGCCUUCGGGUCGUAAAGCUCUUUUACCAGGGAUGAUAAUGACAGUACCUGGAGAAUAAGCUCCGGCUAACUCCGUGCCAGCCGCCGCCGUAAUAC